rnacentral:rRNA from 1 species
CUCAAAUGAAUUGAGGGGCCCGCACAAGCGUGGAGCAUGUGGUUUAAUUCGAAGCAACGCGAAGAACCUUACCAGGUCUUGACAUCCCGAUGCUAUUUCUAGAGAUAGAAAGUUACUUCGGUACAUCGGUGACAGGUGGUGCAUGGUUGUCGUCAGCUCGUGUCGUGAGAUGUUGGGUUAAGUCCCGCAACGAGCGCAACCCCUAUUGUUAGUUGCCAUCAUUCAGUUGGGCACUCUAGCGAGACUGCCGGUAAUAAACCGGAGGAAGGUGGGGAUGACGUCAAAUCAUCAUGCCCCUUAUGACCUGGGCUACACACGUGCUACAAUGCCCACUACAAAGCGAUGCCACCCGGCAACGGGGAGCUAAUCGCAAAAAGGUGGGCCCAGUUCGGAUUGGGGUCUGCAACCCGACCCCAUGAAGCCGGAAUCGCUAGUAAUCGCGGAUCAGCCAUGCCGCGGUGAAUACGUUCCCGGGCCUU